rnacentral:rRNA from 1 species
GUUAUAGGGUCAAGCGAACAAGUGCAUGUGGUGGAUGCCUUGGCGAUCACAGGCGAUGAAGGACGCGGUAGCCUGCGAAAAGCGACGGGGAGCUGGCAAACGAGCUUUGAUCCGUCGAUGUCCGAAUGGGGAAACCCACCUCUUUUGAGGUAUCCGUGACUGAAUACAUAGGUCACGAGAAGCGAACGCGGUGAACUGAAACAUCUAAGUAACCGCAGGAAAAGAAAUCAACCGAGAUUCCCAGAGUAGUGGCGAGCGAAAUGGGACCAGCCUGUACUCUUUAUCUUCAUUGUUAGUCGAAGGCUCUGGAAAGUGCCGCCAUAGCAGGUGAUAGCCCUGUAGACGAAAACAGCGAGGAAGAACUGGGUGUACGACAAGUAGGGCGGGACACGUGAAAUCCUGUCUGAAGAUGGGGGGACCAUCCUCCAAGGCUAAAUACUCGUGAUCGACCGAUAGUGAACCAGUACCGUGAGGGAA